rnacentral:tRNA from 1 species
AUAGAAAAGAUUGAAUAAAAAUAAUAUAAGAUUUGUAUUUAGCUUAAAAUAAUGAUAUAAAAAUGUUAAAUAUAUUUUUUUAAUUUUUUGUAUGUUUAUAAAUAUUUGAUAGUUGUAUUAAAAAAAUGAUAUUAAAAAAAAUUAAAAUUCUGAUAUGUAUUUUUAUAAGUAUUUUAUUAUAUAGUUUAACUCCUUUUUUUGUU